ACGAAGGGGGCUAGCGUUGUUCGGAUUUACUGGGCGUAAAGCGCGUGUAGGCGGGCUGGAAAGUUGGGGGUGAAAUCCCGAGGCUCAACCUCGGAACUGCCUCCAAAACUUCCAGCCUGGACUCAAGCAGAGGUAAGUGGAAUUGCGAGUGUAGAGGUGAAAUUCGUAGAUAUUCGCAGGAACACCAGUGGCGAAGGCGAGUCCCUGGACAACUCCUGACGCUGAGGCACGAAAGCGUGGGUAGCAAACAGGA
rnacentral:rRNA from 1 species